rnacentral:piRNA from 1 species
UACAUUUUACUCUUUGAAUUAUUAUAGCCA